rnacentral:rRNA from 2 species
ACGCCGCUGGCGGCGUGCCUAAUACAUGCAAGUCGAGCGGACAGAUGGGAGCUUGCUCCCUGAUGUUAGCGGCGGACGGGUGAGUAACACGUGGGUAACCUGCCUGUAAGACUGGGAUAACUCCGGGAAACCGGGGCUAAUACCGGAUGCUUGAUUGAACCGCAUGGUUCAAUUAUAAAAGGUGGCUUUUAGCUACCACUUACAGAUGGACCCGCGGCGCAUUAGCUAGUUGGUGAGGUAACGGCUCACCAAGGCAACGAUGCGUAGCCGACCUGAGAGGGUGAUCGGCCACACUGGGACUGAGACACGGCCCAGACUCCUACGGGAGGCAGCAGUAGGGAAUCUUCCGCAAUGGACGAAAGUCUGACGGAGCAACGCCGCGUGAGUGAUGAAGGUUUUCGGAUCGUAAAACUCUGUUGUUAGGGAAGAACAAGUACCGU